GUAGUGGCGAACGAAAAGGAAUGAGCCCAGCGCAGAACGUUCCGGGGCACUCGCCCUGAGAAUGAAUGUUGCGUUAAGGAUAUUGGCAUACACCCAUGGCAGUUACACUUUGCUAAGUCAGCCUCGAAUGGUUCUCGUGAAGCCGGUAACACGGUGAGACUCCAGGGAGGGUGUUAGACCCGUGUGAAGGUGCAAUCUGCUUGGGCAAGCCGAUAUCCCGAGAGUCGCGUUGUUUGAACAUGCAGCGCUAAGCAGGUCGUAGACUCGAUCUAAGGCUAAAUAUGUCCACAGAACCGAUAGUUAACAAGUACCGUGAGGGAAAGUUGAAAAGCACUCCGUAACGGAGAGUCAAAAGACCGUGAAACCACUCAGAGUAUAAGCCAAUGGUGUCUGGAAGGUCCUGUGCUUACAUCUUGGUGUCAAGGACUCAUGCGAACCUCAGCACUUGCGGGAGCAAUCUCCGUUGCUUUGGUAAGCUUGUCCGCUGAAGCACUCCGUUGACCCACCUGGCUCGUUGUGAGGUGUCCUGAGAGCAAAGCGAAGUGUUAAGAUUGGCUUGGAGUUGGGCGUGGGCGUCUCGAUGCCUUUCGCACUCUCCUUUUCGAGCACUUCUUCAGUUCUAUUCGCACAAAGUGUGGUAGUCUUGGAGUGUGCGCUGCUUGACGCUCUCUGGAACCAUCCUCUGCGACGAAGCUUCAAUGCCUUAGUGAGCGGCCGUCUUCCUCCUCGGGAGUCGGUACAUUGGCGCGGCUUGCACACUGUCGGUGCUCCGCUGUUCAACUCUGGCGCAAGGUGUUACGUCCGAUACCAUUGGUCACGUCUCGAAACACGGGCCAAGGAGUAUAGCGUGUGUGCAAGUCUAAGGGUUCCACAAAACCUGGAGGCGUAGUGAAAGCGAGUUAUGGUGUCUCACUGGACUGAUGGAGAAGGCAGUGAUGCGUGAUCCCGCAAGUCCCGGACUCGUCGUCUGCACUGCUUCGGUUGUGUUAGCGCGAGCACCGCAGAGCACAUACGCUAUGACCCGAAAGAUAGUGAACUAUGCUUGGCGAGGGUGAAGCCCCAGGAAACUGGGGUGGAGGCCCGUAGCCGUUGUGACGUGCAAA
rnacentral:rRNA from 1 species